rnacentral:rRNA from 1 species
AGUGAACGCUGGCGGUAGGCCUAACACAUGCAAGUCGAACGGCAGCACAGGAGAGCUUGCUCUCUGGGUGGCGAGUGGCGGACGGGUGAGGAAUACAUCGGAAUCUACUCUGUCGUGGGGGAUAACGUAGGGAAACUUACGCUAAUACCGCAUACGACCUACGGGUGAAAGCAGGGGACCUUCGGGCCUUGCGCGAUUGAAUGAGCCGAUGUCGGAUUAGCUAGUUGCGGGGUAAAGGCCCACCAAGGCGACGAUCCGUAGCUGGUCUGAGAGGAUGAUCAGCCACACGUGAACUGAGACACGGGCCAGACUCCCACGGGAGGCAGCAGUGGGGAAUAUUGGACAAUGGGCGCAAGCCUGAUCCAGCCAUACCGCGUGGGUGAAGAAGGCCUUCGGGUUGUAAAGCCCUUUUGUUGGGAAAGAAAUCCAGCUGGCUAAUACCCGGUUGGGAUGACGGUACCCAAAGAAUAAGCACCGGCUAACUUCGUGCCAGCCGCCGCAGUAA